rnacentral:lncRNA from 1 species
UUGUUCUUGAUUCUAAAAUUUGUUUUGAUGCAUUAUAUAUAAACCUAUGAACCUUGAAAGGGAUUUGCAUGACUAUAGCUUUGAUAAAUUGUUAUAAAUGCUUCCGCUGCUUUCGUAUAUUAAAUUUGAUUUGUAUAUGCAUGAUAGUCAUUAUGAAAUCCCAUGCUAGAAUCUCAUAGAUUUCCCUUCAAGUGGUAUCAGAGCCAAUGGUUUAUGUAUAAUGUGUCCUUUUGGAUUUUAUGCAUAUGGGUAUUAAUGUUAUGUAUGACAUAUUAUUGUUUCAUUCAAAGUAUGUUUAUCUUUUGUUUUUCAAUAGUUGAAAAUGUUAGUCAAAAGUUGAGAAAGAUAUGUAUGCAAAAGAUGUUUUGUAUGCAUGAAUGAAAAAUGAGUUUAAAACUAGUUUGACAAAUUAUUUCUUCAUUUAAAAGUAUGUUUGUCUUUUGUUUUUCAAUGGUUGAAAAAUAUAAAUCAAGAGUUGAAAAAGAUAUACAUGUAAAAGUUGUUUUGUAUGCAUGAAUGAAGAAUAAGUCAUGAACAAAAUUUGGGGUUUUGUUGCUAAGGGUAGGCACGGUUUUGGGGGUGGUUUUGGGUUGUGUUUGUGUUUUAUUGUAAACCACUCACACAUCCUUUUAAAGCUAGAAAAAGAGUUCUUGUCACUUUUGUUUUUUUUGGUUUGAAAAAUCACCAAGAAUGUACAAAUCUUGAAAUUGUGUUCAUGGUUUUGUUCUUGGUGAUCAUAGUUUGGUUUUGGGUGAAAAUGUUUUUAGUUGGUUUUCAUGCAUGGUUUCAUGGUUUUAGGUGAUGUUCUUACCAUCCAUAACCAUAUUAAAACCUUUUAAAACCCUAGACUUGACUAGGAGGAUUUCCAUCACCCAUCUCACCUAAGUUUUAAUGGCAAAACCAAGUGACAAGCAAAAUUUAAUUUUUCUUACAUAAUGUGGCUUUUAAUGCAUGUUGUGUAAGAUUGUGUAAGAGAACUCCCAUCCCCUUAAUGUGGCCGGCCUCCCUAGUGGAUUUAUCCACUUGUGGGGCUAUUUUGUAAUCUUUGAAAAGUCGAUAUUUACUUUGAAAUAUUUACGGUUUUACCCCUAACUUUUCAUAUUUAC